UAAAGCAAAGCUCAAUGGAUAAUUUGGCAGAGAUCACUUGAGUUGAAGGAAAAGGCAGAGCAAGUAAAACGGUGCGUUAGGAAUAAGUAAUACGGUGCGUAGCACGGAUUGAAUGAGUGAAGGACUGUUCCCUCGUGUUUUUGUUAAGAUAACAGAAUUAGUUAGUUUCCAGCUGAAUCUUGUAGCUUCUUUAGUUUUCUAGAAUACUGAAAUCUUGUAUAAAAACAAGUUCUCCAAUUAAUAAAAUAAUUCAGUUCUUUUUCUUUCAAUUUGCUUCUCGGUUCAUGGUAUCAGAGCACGUUCCCUGCGUGUUUUGGUAACCGCUUCUCUAAGAAAACCUUGGUUCUCAGAUAUGUUUUCUUCCUCAAUCUUUAUCUGUUUUUCCUUCUUUUAUUGUAAUUUUUAAUUUGUUAUUGAUUCUUGGAUGGCUGAAUCAAGUUUACAUCUUGAUUCUGAUCUCAAUCAUAGAGGAGAUCAAUAAGUUGCUAGCAAAUUUGAUGAAAAUGCUCUAGUUUUGCUAAACUCAGAUCAUCCUGGAUUGAUCUUAGUGACUGUGCCUCUGACUGGAGGUAAUUACUUGCCAUGGAGUAGAUCCUUGAUGUUAGCCCUGAGAACAAAAGACAAGCUAGGGUUUAUUACUAGAAAAUGUGAUAAACCAGAAGAAGGAUUUGCUGCAUAUGAGAAGUGGCAAAGAGUUGAUUCCAUGGUAAUCUCGUGGAUCUUGAAUUCCAUGGUUAAAGAUUUAGUUAAGGCUUUCCUCUAUACAAUAUCAGCAAAGGAGUUGUGGGAGGAGAUUAAGCAAAGAUUUAGAGAAAGUAAUGGACCAAUGUUGUAUCAGAUUAGAAAGGAGAUAAGUUCACUUUCUCAAUCAAAUCUGAGUCUUAUGGCUUACUUUAUAAAAAUGAAGAAAUUGUGGGAUGAACUUGCAUGUUUAAAGCCUUUGACAACAUGCAUGUGUGGUGCUACAAAGCAAUUAGCUGACAUUGAGAAUGAUGAUAGGUUAAUUUAGUUCUUAAUGGGCCUAAAUGAUUCAUAUGACCAUGUUAAGAACCAAAUAUUGUUGAUGCAACCAUUUCCUAGUGUGAACAAGGCAUAUUCUAUGGUUCUCAGCAUAGGGAAACAAAGAGAAGUGAAUAAUAUGACAAAUAGUGAAUUCAAUACUGUAAUGAAUGUGAAAACACACAAAUGCCAGGUUGAAAAGGGAGGCAGUAAGAAUCAGUAUCCUCAGUCUAAGAAAAAAUCAAAUAAGAAGGAAGAUAGGUUUUGUACCUAUUUUAACACAAUUGGCCAUGUUAAGGAGACUUGUUUUAAGUUGAACGGGUAUCCAGAGUGGCUCUCUGAGUAUAAACAGAAGAAGGAGAAAGAGAAAAUAGGCACUGCUGCACAGGUUUUUGAGACACCUUUGGAUUUUGAAGGGGAAGGGUCAUUGAAGAAUGACAACUUGAAUCCAGGAUUGUCUAGUUACAUACAACAGGAGAUCAUGAAAUUUAGGAAAAAUUAGCAAGGAUCUUCUCCUAAUGAGGCAAGUUGUGUAGAGUUUACUAGCCUUGCAGGACCUAGUGAUUAAGGCUGUAGUAGCUAUUGGAAGAGUGAAAGGAGGAUUAUACCAGUUAAACAACAAGUCAUUCUGUCAAGAUAAAGAAGAUGCAGCCAUAAAGAGUUAUGGAGGUGCCUCGCACUUUUUAGCAAAUAAAUCCUGUCAUAUAUCUCAAAAUGUAACUACUACAAGCAAUAAUAUUUGGCAUCUCAGAAUUGGCCAUGUCUCUCCUACUACAUUGUCACAUAUACCUAAAAUAAAAAAGAAACAUUCUACUCA